UUGGUCAAUGGCCGAAAGGCUGAACCAGUCCAUAGGAAAAAUGAUAAUGUUACUAUGUAUGGGUGCAUUCGCGAUUAACUCGCAUAAAAUUCUAAAUAGAUUAGAUAUAAUGACAUAAUCUAUUUAUAAGUCUUGACCAAACUACGUGCCAGCAGUCGCGGUAAUACGUAGGAGGCUAGUGUUAGUUAUCUUUAUUGGGUUUAAAGGGUAAGUAGACGGUAAAUUAAACUCUAAACGAGUACUUUUUUACUAGAGUUAUAUGAGAGAAGGAAGAAUUUCUGGAGUAGAGAUAAAAUUUGAUGAUACCAGGAGGACUGUCAACGGCGAAGGCGGCCUUCUAUGUAAUAACUGACGUUGAGAGACGAAGGCUUGGGUAGCAAACAGGAUUAGAUACCCUAGUAGUCCAAGCAGACAAUGAUGAAUGUCAUACAUUAGAUAAAUAUAUUUAAUGUAUAAACGAAAGUGUAAGCAUUCCCCCUCAAGAGUACUAUGGCAACAUAUAAACUGAAAUCAUUAGACCGUUUCUAAAACCAGUAGUGAAGUAU
rnacentral:rRNA from 1 species